rnacentral:rRNA from 1 species
AUUGAACGCUGGCGGCAGGCCUAACACAUGCAAGUCGAACGAGUGGCGGACGGGUGAGUAAUGUCUGGGAAACUGCCCGCUGGCGGGGGAUAACUACAGGAAACGGUAGCUAAUACCGCAUACCAUCGGAUGUGCCCAGAGGGGAUUAGCUAGUAGGUGGGGUAACGGCUCACCGAGGCGACGAGCCCUAGCUGGGCUGAGAGGAUGCCCGGCCACACUGGAACUGAGACACGGUCCAGACUCCUACGGGAGGCAGCAGUGGGGAAUAUUGCACAAUGGGCGCAAGCCUGAUGCAGCCAUGCCGCGUGUAUGAAGAAGGCCUUCGGGUUGUAAAGUACUUUCAGCGAGGAGGCGUUACUCGCAGAAGAAGCACCGGCUAACUCCGUGCCAGCAGCCGCGGUAAUUC